CCCGUGUGCCACAACUACUGAGCCUGCGCUCUAGAGUCCGAGAGCCACAACUACUGAAGCCAGUGCACCUAGAACCCAUGCUCUGCAACAAGAGAAGCCACUGCAAUAAGAAGCCUGCUCGCUGCAACUAGAGAAAGCCCACGCACAGCAACGAAGACCCAAAGCCAAAAAUAAAUAAGUCCUGCCAGUUGCUUAAGAAAUGGCAGCAAGUGGAGCAACUAGACCCAUGUGCCACAAUUCCUGAGCCUGUGCUGUAGAGCCCGCAAGCCACAACUACUGAGGCCCACGCGCCUGGAGCCUGUGUUCCGCAACAAGAGAAGCCACCACAGUGAGAAGCCCACAUACCGCAACAAAGAGUGGACCCCGCUUGCUGCAACUAGAGAAAGCCCGAGCGCAGCAACGAAGACCCAAUGCAGGCAAAAAUAAAUAAAUAAAUUGAUUUAAAAAAUAAAAAUUAUCAAAAAAAAAAAAAGAAAUGGCAGCAAUUAUUAUGAAUGUGAUCUGGCUCAUCUCAGAAAGGAUGUCCUCCAUUUUAUGAAUUACUGUGCCUUUGAAAAUCUCUUCACAGGAUAUAAAAUAACGCUUUGUCAUGUAUAUUGCAGAUAUUUUCCUCAGAUUGUCAUUUUCUUCUUUUGGAAGUUUCUUAUUUUUUAUUUGGGCAAAACAUAUCGCCUUUUCUUAA